rnacentral:lncRNA from 1 species
CCCUUUCUCUCUCUUCUCUUUCUCUCUCCUAUUUCACAAACGAUGGAAGCCUAUCGUCGUCUGUGCUUCACUCUUUUUCUCUCCUUCCCUAUCUGUGGUCCCUCGUGACCACCAACUUUUUAUUUUCUUUCUCUUAUUCCCUGCAUGAUGUGAACCAUUGGGUACAUCUCCUCUUCUUUCCUCUGGUAGUGCCUCAUGACCACCUCCUUCACUCUUCUUUUUCUGUGCACCUUGCAUAACCUCUUCUUGGUGCAUCCUCAUGACCACUUCCUCCCUCUCACAUCAAGUGGUCCUGCUAGACCACCUUUGUCCAUUUUCUUAGUUAAGACGUUUGUGGGUCUUUCCCCUAUGGCCGCACAAACCUACCUUUCCCUAUUGCUGCGCGAACCCAUCUUUUCCCUAUUGCCAUGCGAACCCCUCUUUCCCUACCUAUUGCCGUGCAAACCCCUUUUUCCCCUAUCGCCGAGCGAACCCAUCUUUCCCCUCCGUCGCGCACAACCCAUCUUCCCCAACGCCAUGUGCGAUCUAUCCUCCCCCACCACCGUGCGCAACUAAGGCCUAUCGCUGGCAGCCACCAUCUCACGGCCUCGCCUUCGCUGCCAUCACCCUGCUUCCUGCUCUCUGCUCUCCCUGUUCAACCACCACCGACAAUUUUCCCACAUUUCUCUCACCCACUUUCUUUAUCUCGACCCUCUCUUUUCACCUUGCACUCUGUCUCUCAGUAGCAAUUCUCUUUCAAGAGUAGGCAACAGGAUCUCCUCCCACCUCACCUCACCUCACCUCAUUUACAGUCAUGUAGCAACCAGUGCCGUCUCCAUCCUUCUUCUCUUGCCAUCAACCAUUAGCAACCAACACCUCUCCCACCUCCAUCUCCACCAAUUCCUUCACAACCUCCGCUUAUGAAUCCCUGCUACUACCACUCACCAGCCACCUCACCCUCUUCUUCCCGUCACCUUGCCCCUCACCAUAUCUCCCCAUCUCCACCUCUCUUUGCUGCCCCCAACCAUCUCGUCUCAGCCCUUUCACCUUGCUGCUCCACCAUCUUCUCCAUCUAGCUUCUCCUUCCGACCAGCAAUCUCCCACCUACAACCAAUUGCUCCCUCGUUUUCUUUUCUAUUGCCAUCAGCCAAUCACCACCUCUACUAAUUUCUGUCCUCCCUGCUCCUCAGCUGCCUCCUCUCUAUUCACCUAUAAAUCAGGCACCACCCUGUUGCAGUUCACUGCCGUCCCAUUUCCGUCAUCCAUGUUGUCCCAAUUUCAUUAUCAACUGUAGCCCCACCUUUCCUCGCUACCAUCGCGACCUCGUGCUCUCCUCUCAUUCUAAUUUCCAGUAACCUUGUGUGUCCCAUUCUCUUCCCUGCAACUUCUCUCUCCCUUAAAAAAAAACCCACAAAGCAAAAACACCUACUAACCGGUUUCGUUUCAUCUCACCCACUCUCACGAUAUUUCGUUCCCCCUUUC